rnacentral:tRNA from 1 species
GGGCCGUUAGCUCAGUUGGUAGAGCAGUUGACUCUUAAUCAAUAGGUCGCAGGUUCGAUCCCUGCACGGCCCACCA